rnacentral:rRNA from 1 species
AUUGAACGCUGGCGGCAUGCCUUACACAUGCAAGUCGAACGGCAGCACGGGUGCUUGCACCUGGUGGCGAGUGGCGAACGGGUGAGUAAUACAUCGGAACAUGUCCUGUAGUGGGGGAUAGCCCGGCGAAAGCCGGAUUAAUACCGCAUACGAUCUACGGAUGAAAGCGGGGUACCUUCGGGCCUCGCGCUAUAGGGUUGGCCGAUGGCUGAUUAGCUAGUUGGUGGGGUAAAGGCCUACCAAGGCGACGAUCAGUAGCUGGUCUGAGAGGACGACCAGCCACACUGGGACUGAGACACGGCCCAGACUCCUACGGGAGGCAGCAGUGGGGAAUUUUGGACAAUGGGCGAAAGCCUGAUCCAGCAAUGCCGCGUGUGUGAAGAAGGCCUUCGGGUUGUAAAGCACUUUUGUCCGGAAAGAAAUCCUUGGCCCUAAUACGGUCGGGGGAUGACGGUACCGGAAGAAUAAGCACCGGCUAACUACGUG